UAUCAAAUAAUAAAUCAAUCAAUGUUGUAUAGUAAAUCCUCAUUUGUUUUUUUAGUGUCAACCCCGUGGAUAUUCGAAUAGUGGCUGGAUCAAUCAAUCUAUCGGAGGGCGGAUCAUCCUAUUAUGUAGACAGAAUUGUGAAUGGAAAGUUUGAAAAUAGAACGAAAUCUAAUGACAUUUCUCUUAUCAAAACAAAAACGGAUAUUGUGUUUAAUAAAUAUGUGAAAAGUAUUCUAUUGUCUUUGGGCCCUGUACCCGUCGGUGAAGACGCCAUGAUAGCAGGCUGGGGAUUUACCGAUAAAUAUCGGACCCGGAAAACCGAUGUUUUGCAAAAACUUAUGGUUCAUGUUCGUCCUUACAGUGUGUGUUUAAAGUAUUUGCCAGAUUACUUUAAGGAUACACAUACAAAGAUAUGCAUUCAAAGAGAAUACGGGAAGGGAGUUUGUCAUGGCGAGUCCGGUGGUCCCUUAAUAUAUCAGGGACAGUUGUAUGGUAUUGCCUCAUUUAAUAUAGAGAUUCAUUGCGGUGUAGGCGUGCCGACUGUCUACACAGAAAUACGUCCAUACA